rnacentral:misc_RNA from 2 species
AGCAGCCGCGGUAAUUCCAGCUCCAAUAGCGUAUAUUAAAGUUGUUGCAGUUAAAAAGCUCGUAGUUGAACUUCAGGCCUGUCCAGACGGUCCGCCUUAAUUGGUGUGUACUGUCCUUGGGUGGGUCCUACCUUCUGGCGAAGCGGCAUGGCCUUAAUUGGUUGUGUCGGGGAACCAGGACUUUUACUGUGAAAAAAUUAGAGUGUUCAAAGCGGGCAAAUAUGCUCGAAUACAUUAGCAUGGAAUAAUGGAAUAGGACGAUGGUUCUAUUUUGUUGGUUCUAGGACCGUUGUAAUGAUUAAUAGGGAUAGUUGGGGGCAUUAGUAUUCAAUUGUCAGAGGUGAAAUUCUUGGAUUUAUUGAAGACUAACUACUGCGAAAGCAUUUGCCAAGGAUGUUUUCAUUAAUCAAGAACGAAAGUUAGGGGAUCGAAGACGAUCAGAUACCGUCGUAGUCUUAACCAUAAACUAUGCCGGCUAGGAAUCGGGCGAUGUUGACAAAAUGACUCGCUCGGCACCUCA